rnacentral:rRNA from 1 species
AAAAACAUGUCCUUUUGUUGAUUUAUAUAAGGUCUAACCUGCCCCAUGAUUAUAAUUUAAAUGGCCGCGGUAUAUUAACUGUGCUAAGGUAGCAUAAUCACUUGUCUUUUAAUUGAAGGCUAGAAUGAAUGGUUGGACGAGGUAUAAGCUUUCUUUAAUUUAAUUUUUUGAAUUUAAUUUUUUAGUUAAAAAGCUAAAAUAUAUUUGAGGGACGAGAAGACCCUAUAGAUCUUUAUUCAUGAAUAUAUUUUAUAUUUUAGUGUAUUUGUUAUUUUGAUGUGUUUAUGAAUUUGGUUGGGGUGACUGUAGAAUUGUCAUAACUUCUAUUUGUAUAUUUCAAUAAUUAUUGUUUUGUUGAUCCAUUUUUAUUGAUUAAAAGAUUAAGUUACCUUAGGGAUAACAGCGUAAUUCUUUUGGAGAGUUCUUAUCGAUAAGAGAGUUUGCGACCUCGAUGUUGGAUUAAAAUAAGUUGUAGGUGUAGCAGUUUAUAAACUAGGUCUGUUCGACCUUUAAUUUUUUACAUGAUCU